GGGGUCAAUCUGGAAGACAUGCGCUCGGGUGGUGAAGAUGGGCUGUUCUCUGCAAUAAGAGAGUGGGCGUAUAAUAGAAUUGCACAUAGAGAACACCCAAGAAAAUCAACUGAAAAACCAUCCUACUGGGUGUGAAGUGAAGGAUGACGGAUACCGGGCACAUCUCUAAAGGAACAACCAUGUACCUAUCUGAAGGCAGCCUAUACCCUAAGUGGGCAGACUGUGUGUGUGACUGUUCUGGGCCCCGAAUGACUUUCUUGGGUUGCAGCUGCCCAAGGAGGGAACUUCACACACUAGGUUACCUAUUUCAGGGUCUCUUAUUAACAGGAAAAUUUUAAAUAAUGAUCUUAGAAGUACUGAAAACACAGAAAACUGGGGUGUGGAGAGACAAGAGGGAGUCAGGUAACAGCGAAGCAAAUGGUUUUUAUGCGGUGCAGCCUUGGAAGUUACAAGCAAACCUGCAGAUAGUGGGCAGGCCAUACUUCAAAGACGACGAAGAUGUCAUACUGGACUCUGCCAUUCUCUGCUUUUAUGAAGUGCCAUGAUGGAGUUAAAGCUCAGCAUCCCUGUGCCCUGGAGAGGGUGGUUAUAGCAGCCACCAGUGCCCAAGGAGAACAUCCACUUUUAUUACUUUGCCUCCAAGUUAGUCUGAUUUUUUUUUUUUUAACAGCAAACAUUGCCUGAUAUAGUCUGAUCAUCUUGAAGAAGCCUGAGCUACACGGAGAGGGGAGCUCCAGAUCCUUCUAGAACUUAUCUUCUGCAUCUCGAAACCCCAUGCAGUUCCUAACCAAUGGUGCCUGCCAGCAGGGCCUGAGAGUCUGACCUACUGCCUGCGGCCCAGAGCACACAGCGUGCCUCUCCCUAUUUCUGCCAUUGUUCUUGCUUCUGUAAUUUCAUCCCAACAGCAGCACUCUAUCAGGCCACCUUCCUGAAAGCAACACAAACCCCUGCUUAGAAGAGUGAACUACUGAUGGUAGACAGCAGAUCACACAGUCAAGCUUUGCAUGCCUUAGGAAAUGUUCUUGCUGUAGUCCCUCCAUCCUGGACCCUUCCUCCAGAAUCCCCCACUGCCAGUCCCUCAUCUUGGCUCCCUGGGAAUUCUCAGGUGCCAUCUCUUUUCUGGUCAUUUAUUCAAAACGUGUACAGGGCUGUGGAAAACUGGUGCUUCCUCAAAAAAGUUAAAUACAGCAUUUCCACGUGGCCCUGCAAUUCUUCUAGGUAUAUACCCAAAAGCAUUGAAAGCAAAGACCCAAACAGCUACUUGUAUGCCCAGGUUCAAAGCAGCAUUACUCACAACAGCCACAAAGUAGAAAUGACCCAAAGUCUAUCAACAGAUAAAUGGAUAAACAAAAUGUGGCAUACACAUAGAAUCGAAUAGCCUUAAAAGGAAUGAAAGUCGGCCAGGCGCGGUGGCUUAUGCCUGUAAUCCCAGCACUUUGGGAGGCUGAGGCGGGCAGAUCACGAGGUCAGGAAAUCGAGACCAUCCUGGCUAACAUGGUGAAACCCUGUCUCUACUAAAAAUACACACACACACACACACACACACAAAUUAGCCAGGCAUGGUGGUGGGCACCUGUAGUCCCAGCUACUUGGGAGGCUGAGGCAGGAGAACAGCGUGAACCCAGGAGGCAGAGCUUGCAGUGAGCCAAGAUCAUGCCACUGUACUCCAGCCCGGGUGGCAGAGUGAGACUCCAUCUUAAAAAAAAAAAACUUCGCUAUAUGCUACAACACGGAUGAACUUUGUAAAUAUGUUAAGUGAAAUAAACCAGUCACAAAAUAAAUAUUCUAUGAGUCCACUUAUAUGAAUCAAAUUGUCAAAUUCAUAGAGACAGAAAGUAGAACAGUGAUUACCAGUGGCUGGGGGAGGAGGGAAUGGGGAGUUAUUGCUUAAUGGGUUCAAAGUUUCUGUUUGGGAUGAUGAAAAGUUCUGGAAAUGGAGAGUAGUGAUGGCUACACAACACUGUGAAUAUGCUUAAUGCCACUGAACUGUACACUUAUAAAUGAUUUAAGUGGUACAUUUUAUGUGUGUUUUACUAAACAACCACAAAGUGUGCUGGGAGCAACUCCUGGUGAGGUCGGGGAUGGCUUCACAGAGAUAAUGACGGGGCUGAGUCCUUAGGAGGACAAGGCGAGGAAGAGCAACUGUGAAGAAUAGCUCAAUGGCACCAAAGAGAAAACUGCAAAGGGUGUGCAUUUAAAGGACAGAUGGAGGUGGGCACAGUGGCUCACACCUGUAAUCUUAGCACCUUGGGAAGCCGAAGUGGGACGAAUGCUUGAGGCCAAGAGUUUGAGAUCAGCCCGGGCAACAUAAUGUGACAAAAAAUACAAAAACUAACUGGGUGUGAUGGUGUGUUUUGCCUAUAGUCCCAGCUACUGGGGAGGCUGAGGCAGGAGGAUCGCUUGAGCCUAGGAAUUCAAGGCUCAACUGAAAAUUUUUUCAAUUUUUUUUAAUUGAAAAAAAAAUCAACUGCUGAAAGAAUUCUGGAGAUAGUGAUGAUGGUUGUAGAACAAUGUGAAUGCACUUAAUGCCCGGAACUCUAUACAUGUAACAUGGCUAAAAUGGUAAUGUUUAUGUUAUCAUAAUAUUAUGUUAUAUAAAUUUUACCAUAAUUUUUUUAAGAAGACUGAAAAAAACCCACUGUCUGUCUCUUCUACACCACUGUUGGAGUACUAUACCUUGACAGAAUUCGCUGGGAGGCAAUUUAUCGUCACACAUCAAAAGCCUCAGAACUGCUGGGUGCAGUGGCUCAUGCCUGUAAUCCAGGCACUUUGGGAGGCUGAGACGAGAGGAUCACUUGAGCCUAGGAGUUGAAGACCAGCCUGGGCAACACAGGGAGACCCCUUUGCUACAAAAAACACAAACAAACAAAAAAACAAAAUUUGCCAGGCAUUAUGGCACGUGCCUGUAGUCCCAGCUGCUGGGAGGCUAACGUGGGAGGACUGCCUGGGCCUGGGAGUUCAAGGCUGCAGUGAGCUGCCCUGUCUCAAAUAAAUAAAUAAAUAAAUAAAGCCUUAGAACUGCGUACUCCUCAACCCAACAACUCCACUUCUUGGAAUCUAUUCAAAAGUGAUAAAUAAGGAUAUACAAAGAUACUUAUGCCAAUGGAUAGUCACUGAAGAGCUGCUUAUUAAAAACAAAAACAAAUAAACAAACAAAAAUAAACCUGUAAAUAAACUAAAUGCCCCAAAGUUGAGGAUUGGUUAAAUUAAGUAUGAUAUAUCCGUGCAAAAAGUAUCAGUUGGCCUUUCAAAAUUAUAAGUAAAUAUUUGCUCACAUGGAAAGAUGGUCUUCGUUUCUUUAUGUAUUCUGAUUUAUUCUAUACUUCACUAUUACAAAAUAAAGAGACCACCCAGUGUUGCUGAGUCCCAGCCUAGCUACAACUUUCUGUCCCCUUCCCUACCAAAUAGAAUUAGCCAGACCUUGAAGGACUUGAGUGUCACUUGAAACUUCUUGCCUCAGAGGAAACAAAAUAAUGGGGGAAACAAAGAAUUCAUACGUUCCAGAAUUCCAAAAAUAUUUAGCCAACACUAGGAGUGUGGAGUGAAAAGAGCGAGCUGCAAAAUAGCAUCAUCCUCUGCUCCCAUUCUUAUAAAUAUGUGUACAAAUAUAUAUUAACUUAACAAAUAUUUAAUCCACAACUAUAAAGGAGAGCUGUGCUGGGUGCCAAGAAUAUCCCAGGAAAUGAGACAGCCACGGCCUCAGAAUCCAGUGAGGUUGGUACCUGUCUGUCUGAGCACCUGUGUGUGCAUGGGAUGGGGUACAAAACGGUGACCCUAAAGCGAGGGUCUUCUGGCAGGACUGAGAAUAGGUCUAUUGCAUGCAUGUGACGUGCAGACAGCCUUGGUGCAAUGAGAAUUCAUAUCCAGGCAAGAGAGAGGCCAGUGUCUCUUGCUUCCCAAUCUAAAGGUCAAGUGCAGAACCAGCUGGACCAAACAGAACAGGCGUGAGAGAGCUCCAAACACCAGGGUCGGCAGAGGGGGAGAGGUUAAGUACUCUCAAGAGCUUUAGAUGGCAAAGGGACAAAGAUGACACAAGCUGGAUGGGGACUUAGCACCAAGAGCUGAGCCCUUAGUUGCCAGCUGCUUGGCCCAAAGUAUGGGCUGCUCUGGAAAG